rnacentral:rRNA from 1 species
GAUGAACGCUGGCGGCGUGCCUAAUACAUGCAAGUCGAGCGAACAGAUAAGGAGCUUGCUCCUUUGACGUUAGCGGCGGACGGGUGAGUAACACGUGGGUAACCUAUCUAUAAGACUGGAAUAACUCCGGGAAACCGGGGCUAAUGCCGGAUAACAUGUUGAACCGCAUGGUUCUACAGUGAAAGGCGGCUUUGCUGUCACUUAUAGAUGGACCCGCGCCGUAUUAGCUAGUUGGGGAGGUAACGGCUCACCAAGGCAACGAUACGUAGCCGACCCGAGAGGGACAAUGCCCACACGGGAACAGAGACACGUUCCAGACUCCUACGGGGGGCAGCAGUAGGGAAUCUUCCGCGAGGCGCGAAAGCCUGACGGAGCAAAGCCGCGUGAGUGAUGAUGGUCUUAGGAUCGUAAAACGCUGUUAUUAUGGAAGAACAAAUGCGUAAGUAACUGUGCGCGUCUUGACGGUACCUAAUCAGAAAGCCACGGCUAACUACGUG